rnacentral:rRNA from 1 species
GACGAACGCUGGCGGCGUGCUUAACACAUGCAAGUCGAACGGAAAGGCCCUGCUUUUGUGGGGUGCUCGAGUGGCGAACGGGUGAGUAACACGUGAGUAACCUGCCCUUGACUUUGGGAUAACUUCAGGAAACUGGGGCUAAUACCGGAUAGGAGCUCCUGCUGCAUGGUGGGGGUUGGAAGGUUUCGGCGGUUGGGGCUGGACUCGCGGCUUAUCAGCUUGUUGGUGGGGUAGUGGCUUACCAAGGCUUUGACGGGUAGCCGGCCUGGGAGGGUGGCCGGCCACCUUGCGCCUGCGGUACGGCCCAGUCUCCUACGUUAGGCAGCGGUGGGGAAUAUUGCACAAUGGGCGGACGCCUGUUGCAGCAACGCCGCGUGCGUGAUGACGGCCUUCGGGUUGUAAACCGCUUUCGCCUGUGACGAAGCGUGAGUGACGGUAAUGGGUAAAGAAGCACCGGCUAACUACGUG